rfam:Nitrospinae bacterium RIFCSPLOWO2_12_39_16 rifcsplowo2_12_sub10_scaffold_810, whole genome shotgun sequence.
GCGGGAAUAGCUCAGUUGGUAGAGCAUCAGCCUUCCAAGCUGAGGGUCGCGGGUUCGAAUCCCGUUUCCCGCU